UCCCAGAAAAAGAAAGGGAAAAGAAGCUUACUGAUGGUGGACUUGAUAUUUGUGGAUUGGAGAGCAUAAAACUUGUUCACUGUGAGGAAAAUGCUGUCAUCAGACAACAUUAGGAGAGUCUUCCUGUAGAGACUUUUACUUUUGAUUCUCCAGAGCAUCUCCCUUGUAGAGAUACAAAGUCAACAUCUUUACAUCUUUCUGGGUUCUGUACUAGCUCUUGGAUUCGUGAAAUGCAGCAAGCUUCUGACAAACCAAUAAUCAUUAGUGAAAACCUGGAUGCUAGGACUAGAAACCUGGUCUCUGUGUCCAGAAUCAGUCAAAUGAAUUGGUGAGUAUGGUACUGGCAAUGGUUGCUGAAGAAAAGCAAAUAAAUCGUGAUCUAGAGGGACUCUUUGCUGAGGAGGGAAAUAGAUGUGUAUUAAACCUGUAAAUUCUACCUAUUUCACCCGGAAGAGCUUUUGUUUUUAUGAAAUAAUGAUUAGGGGACAUCAAAGAGAUGAAAUUGUGAUUGGGUAUCGCCUUGCAAAUGCAUAUCUUGCAAUAAUUAACCCUUCAGAGAAGUCAAAACCAAGAAAAUGGUCCCUUGAUGAUGUUUUUAUUGUCAUCUCCUUAGGUGAAUGAUAAUGUGGUCUUAGAAAAAGAAAGACGAAAGAAGCUUACUGAUAGUGGACUUGAUAUUCAUGGAUUGUAGAGCAUAAAACUUCUUCAACGCAAGGAAAAUGCUGUCAUCAGAUGACAUUUGGAGAGUCUUUCUCUAGAGACUUUUAAUUCUUCAAAGCGUCUCCCUUAUAGAGAUUAUACAAAGUCAACGUCUUUAAAUCUUUCUGGGUUCUCUCAUAGCUCUUGGAUUGGUGAAAUGCAGCAAGCUUCUGACAAAUCAAUAAUCAUUGGUGAAAUCCUGGAUUCUUGGACUGGAAACCUGGUCUCAGUGGCCAGAAUCAAUGAUUGUGUUACCAAAUGAACUGGUGAGUAUGGCACUGGCAAUGUUGGCUGAAGACGAGCAAAAAAAUCGUGUUCUAGAUAAUUCGUUGCUGUGGAGGGGAAUGAGAUGUGUAUUAAACCUGCAGAAUUCGAUCUAUUUGACUAGGAAGAGCUUUCUUUUUACAAAACAAUAAUCAGGGGACGUCAAAGAAACGAAAUUGUGAUUUGGUAUCGCCUUUCAAAUGCAGAUCAUGUGAUAAUUAACCCUCCAGAGAAGUCAAAACCAAGAAAAUGGCCCCUUGAUGAUGUUUUUGUUGUCAUCUGCUUGGGUGAAUGACUGUAAACAAUUGAUGGUUUCUGGUAUCAUAGCAUCUAUUAGGUCUUUUCUUUAUAUUCUAUCCAACUCUACAAAAAUUCUCUCCCAACCUCCCUUGUACGUACAUGGCCAGUUGUAAUUGAAAAAAAAUAUUCUGAAAAUAUUUUGACCAAAAGAGAUGGUUACUUGUAGAUCACAAACUUUCAAAUUUGACUCUGUGAAGCAUGUUUUGUACAAUUGUAAUAUAGUACUGUGAACUGAAAAAUGAGUUGAUCAUGUUCAAAUGACAGGCCUUUGGCAGUAUUCCUCAUUA